rnacentral:rRNA from 1 species
GACGAACGCUGGCGGCGUGCUUAACACAUGCAAGUCGAACGGAAAGGCCUCUUUCGGGGGGUACUCGAGUGGCGAACGGGUGAGUAACACGUGAGUAACCUGCCCUUGACUUUGGGAUAACUUCAGGAAACUGGGGCUAAUACCGGAUAGGAGCUCCUGCUGCAUGGUGGGGGUUGGAAAGAUUCGGCGGUUGGGGUUGGACUCGCGGCGUAUCAGCUUGUUGGUGGGGUGAUGGCUUACCAAGGCUUUGACGGGUAGCCGGCCGGUGGGGGUGACCGGCCACCUUGGCUCUGAGAUACGGCCCCGACUCCUACGGGACGCAGCAGUGCGGAAUAUUGCCCAAUGGGUGCAGGCCUGAUGCAGCAGCGCCGUGGGCGGGAUGACGGCCUUCGGGUUGUAGACCGCUUUCGCUCAUGACGAAGCUUUGUGUGACGGUAGUGGGUAAAGAAGCACCGGCUAACUACGUG